UACUCUCAGGGCGGGGCGAAAUUCCCCACCGGUGGUGAUUUUUAAUAAAAAUAAGUCCACGAGCACAAAGAAAAGUGUUGAUUUGGUGAAAGUCCAAAACCGACGGUGAUAGUCCGGAUGGAAGAGAAG
rnacentral:ncRNA from 1 species